rnacentral:rRNA from 1 species
GUGAGGAAUAUUGCACAAUGGGCGAAAGUCUGAUGCAGCAACGCCGCGUGAGUGAUGAAGGCCUUUGGGUCGUAAAACUCUGUCCUUGGGGAAGAAAAAAAUGACGGUACCCUUGGAGGAAGCCCCGGCUAACUACGUGCCAGCAGCCGCGGUAAUACGUAGGGGGCAAGCGUUAUCCGGAAUUAUUGGGCGUAAAGAGUGCGUAGGUGGUUUUGUAAGCGUAGGGUGAAAGGCAGUAGCUCAACUAUUGUUAGCCCUGCGAACUGUGAGACUUGAGUGCAGGAGAGGAAAGUGGAAUUCCUAGUGUAGCGGUGAAAUGCGUAGAUAUUAGGAGGAACACCAGUGGCGAAGGCGACUUUCUGGACUGUAACUGACACUGAGGCACGAAAGCGUGGGUAGCAAACAGGAUUAGAAACCCUGGUAGUCC